UGUCAUGUCUGAAUUAGCAGGCACAGCAGGGUUAGCUUAGCUCUCUCCAGGAAUGCUACUUCAUUAGCUCCUAACACUGCUCAGUCACAAGACGGAGAGAUGAUAAAAAUCUGCCUCCCGAGAAUGACAAGGGUGCAGUCAUGAUCGUGGAGGAAGUGAGCAUUUGAGACGACAUCUCAGAAUGAUCGAGACAGCAGCAACAGCAGAGGAAAUAAUUACAUCAGCAGCAGAUGCAGCUGAGAUGGAGACUCCCAGGAGCAGCAGUGUUAUGAUAUCACUGCAGACAACAGUAACAAGUUCAAUAUUCACGCUCCGCCCUGCGACCAAAGAGCCGCUGCGCAGAUUCACGGAUACCCGACAAGAGAGGUCCCCUCCCCGGCCGGUGGACAGCGAAGAGGAAAGUCGGUGGGAGGGAUUCAUCUUGUGUUUUUAAUCUUUUCUCAGUGAUUUGAUGAAAAGAAACUCUUGCUUGUCCUUAAAAAUCAUGAGGAAUUAAAACUAUUUGUGACCGCC